CCCUACUUGUUCAGCUACUGGUGCCUGUGGAAUGGGCAAACUAUGGAAUUAAUCUGCGUAGGACAUUGGACCUAGCUGAAUCCUCCAGCUUGAGGAUUAUCAUGAUUUUAUUACUGUUAUUGCUCCAGUGUUGUCACACAGGGGCCAUUGCGGAAGAUGGAGAGUGAGUAGAUUGUUAGGGCUCUGGAACAGAAUCUGCAGUAUCCCGAGUCUCAAAUUGGAAACAUCUGCAUCCUCUCAAAUUGGAAACAUCCAAGACUGAUGAUCAGAGGCCUCAUAAAAGAUCAAUAUCUGGAAUGGUUUUGGCAGAUAAUUUUUAAAACCAAGUAGGAACAGCGAAAGCCUUGUCGGCUUGUGUCUGCUGCUCUCCUGCUGCUCCAACAGGAUGCUGCCAGGAGAAAGAUCUCCAGUAUCCUCCGGUCCUAGUUUUUAAAAUACUUUUCAGUCCUCAGUGUAUAUUCAAGUGUAUCUUUUCUUUGCUACCAUAUAAUCACUCAACUUCUGCAAGUUAAUUCUCUAAGCAAGAUGACUUCUUAAAGGCAAAUUUAAGCUCAACAGAAUUAAUGUUGCUCAUCUUACCUACUCAAGAAAUGAUUAAAUGUAGCCUAAUCCUCCUACUGUGGUAAAAUUUAAUAUCCUUAGCUGCACUAUAAAUAAGGGGUACAUUAAUCCUAAGUUAUCACUGCUUCAUAUACACAGAGUUAUACAUUUGGGUUAAUCAGUAGGUAUGUAUCACACCUGCUUUCUCUUCAUUCUCAGGCAAAGGACAAAUAUGUUAGUUUGCACAGGUUAAAUGAUGUGGACCUUGAAUUACUGUUCCCAAGCCUUUAUCAUCAUACACAUUUUAGCAAAAAGUAAACGAUUCUCAGUUUUUUGAUUGACUGAUAAAUAGGG